UACGUAGGGACCGAGCGUUGUCCGGAUUCAUUGGGCGUAAAGAGCUCGUAGGCGGCUGUUCAAGUCGAACGUGAAAACUCGGAGCUCAACUCCGAGCCUGCGUUCGAUACUGGACGGCUAGAGUCGGUAGGGGAUGCUGGAAUUCCUGGUGUGAGCGGUGGAAAUGACGCAGAUAUCAGGAGGAACACCAAUUGCGAAGGCAGCUCGCUGGGACGUUACUGACGCUGAGACGCGAAAGCGUGGGGAGCAAACAGG
rnacentral:rRNA from 1 species